GACGAACGCUGGCGGCGUGCUUAACACAUGCAAGUCGAACGGAAAGGCUCCAGCUUGCUGGAGUACUCGAGUGGCGAACAGGUGAGUAACACGUGGGUAAUCUGCCCUGCACUCUGGGAUAAGCCUGGGAAACUGGGUCUAAUACUGGAUAUGACCUUUCUCCUUAUGGGGUUUGGUGGAAAGUUUUUCGGUGUAGGAUGAGCCCGCGGCCUAUCAGCUUGUUGGUGGGGUGAUGGCCUACCAAGGCGACGACGGGUAGCCGGCCUGAGAGGGUGAUCGGCCACAUUGGGACUGAGAUACGGCCCAGACUCCUACGGGAGGCAGCAGUGGGGAAUAUUGCACAAUGGGCGGAAGCCUGAUGCAGCGACGCCGCGUGAGGGAUGACGGCCUUCGGGUUGUAAACCUCUUUCAGCAGGGACGAAGCGUAAGUGACGGUACCUGCAGAAGAAGCACCGGCUAACUACGUG
rnacentral:rRNA from 1 species